UGUGCCAGAUGUCAAACGACAAGACCAUUGCAACCCCAGGGGCUUGGGGUAGCAGUGCUUUUAGGGGAGACGAAGAUGCUGAUGUCAUCCUGGAUAGGGUCAACUGUUUUUCUGUUCACCUAAUGGUCCAGAGCCCAGGUUGCCUGGCUCCCAGCCAACUACUCCUUUGGCUGAUUGGAGGACAAGGGGCCUGGCGGAUGGAUUCCCAGUUAGGGAGUUGGAGGCCAAGCCUUCCCCUGCAGCCAAUGAGGGACCCGCUCGUUGCUGGGCAGGAAACAGCCUUCUGGGUCAUGUCCUCACCUUUCCUCAGCUAAAGUUCCCCAACUGUCUGCUUCAAAUUCAAGCGCACAUCCAGUUCCAUGAGUAACCACAUUAUUUUUAAACAGCAUCCUUCAGCCACGGACUCGCCUGGAUUUCCAGAGAUAGGGAUUGCAUCUCCAGCUUCUGUUGCUUCAACAACAGGAAGCAGCAGCUGACAUGGUGGCACAGCACGCUAAGCUACAACCUGGGCCUCCUGGCCGCUCCACUUCCACUCCAGCUCCCUGCCAGUGUGCCUAGGAAAACAGAGGAGGAGGUAGAACUCCCCGGUGGAAUCCUGGCUCAGCCCCUCCUCCUCUGUCUCUGUAACUCCACAUUUAAAAUACAACCUUUUUCUUUUAAAAGAAGCAUAGAAAGCAGUGAAUUUAGGAUUAAAAACAACUGUGUUGAAACUGAAAUCAAGCUGUUGGAGUCUAGAAGGCAGAAGGUGUAAAAAACACGGUAUAUAUUAGAUAUAUGUUUAUGUAUUUCAUUUUAUCUGACUUGGAGUGUUCUCUUCCUGGAGCUCCAGAUGCUGAGCUGAGGCAUCCGGGAAGCAGUCAUUGCAGGAACGUAUGCAACUCCAUUGCAGUCCCUUGUAUGCAGGGGCCGUCUUUACCAGCAGUUCACUGAUUGACACUUCAUUUCUGUCUUGUUUUGUUUUUGUUUUUCUGUUAAGAACAAUGGCAUAAGAAACUCCCUUGUACAGGCAGCUUGAUUAUUGCUACAAGGAAAACCACAGGAUAAAUUCCCAGAAUGGUAACUGUUGAGUUAGUUUCCUUUGUUGCAAUUCUAAUAGACAGUUUUUGAUUU